rnacentral:rRNA from 1 species
GAACGGAAAGGCCAGUGCUUGCACUGGUACUCGAGUGGCGAACGGGUGAGUAACACGUGGGUGAUCUGCCUUGCACUCUGGGAUAAGCUUGGGAAACUGGGUCUAAUACCGGAUAUGAACUGCCUUUAGUGUGAUGGUUGGAAAGUUUUUCAGUGCAAGAUGAGCUCGCGGCCUAUCAGCUUGUUGGUGGGGUAAUGGCCUACCAAGGCGACGACGGGUAGCCGACCUGAGAGGAUGUACGGCCACGUUGCUACUGAAAUACGGCCCAUACUCCUACGGGAGGCAGCAGUGGGGAAUAUUGCACAAUGGGCGGAANCCUGAUGCAGCGACGCCGCGUGGGGGAUGACGGCCUUCGGGUUGUAAACUCCUUUCGACAGGGACGAAGCAUAAGUGACGGUACCUGUAUAAAAAGCACCGGCUAACUACGUGCCAGCAGCCGCGGUAAUACGUAGGGUGCGAGCGUUGUCCGGAAUUACUGGGCGUAAAGAGCUCGUAGGUGGUUUGUCACGUCGUCUGUGAAAUUCCGUGGCUUAACUUCUGGCGUGCAUGCGAUACGGGCAUAACUUGAUUGCUGUAGGGGAGACUGGAAUUCCCUGGUGUAUCGGUGAGAUGCUCAGAUAUCAGGAGGAACACCAAUGGCGAAGGCAGAGAAAAGCGGGGGGGCAACAAGAAUAAAUACCCUGGUAGUCCACCCCGUAAAAAAAAUUGCUAGAGGUUGAGGGUUUUCGCCCUUUAGUGGGGAAGCUAACGCCAUAAGUACUCCGCCUCGGGAGUACGGUCGCAAGGCUUAAACUCAAAAGAAUUGACGGGGGCCCGCACAAGCGGUGGAGCAUGUGGUUUAAUUUGAAGCAACGCGAAGAACCUUACCAGGCCUUGACAUCCUCCUAACUUUCCAAAAAAGGAGCGGUUCCCUUUCGGGAGGCGAGAAACACAGGUUGCGCAUCGUUGUUCUCAGCCUGUGCUGUGAGUUUAUGGGNUAAGUCCCACAAAGAGCGCCACCCUUGUUUUUUGUUGCCCCCAUUAAGUUGGGCACUUUAAGGAGACUGCCGGUGACAAACCGGAGGAAGGUGGGGAUGACGUCAAAUCAUCAUGCCCCUUAUGACCUGGGCUACACACGUGCUACAAUGGUCGGUACAAAGGGCUGCUAAACCGCGAGGUGGAGCUAAUCCCAAAAAACCGUUCUUAGUUCGGAUUGCAGGCUGCAACUCGCCUACAUGAAGUCGGAAUCGCUAGUAAUCGCGGAUCAGCAUGCCGCGGUGAAUACGUUCCCGGGUCUUGUACAGACCGCCCGUCACACCUA